rnacentral:rRNA from 1 species
GAGACUGCCGAGCUAGAGGGUGGGAGAGGUCAGCGGUAUUCCUGGGGUAGGGGCGAAAUCCUUUGAUCCCAGGAGGACCACCAGUGGCGAAGGCUGCUGACUAGAACACGCCUGACGGUCAGGGACGAAAGCUGGGGUAGCGAAUCGGAUUAGAUACCCGAGUAGUCCCAGCCGUAAACGAUGCAGGCUAGGUGUUGGGGCGGCCACGCGCCGCCUCAGUGCCACAGGGAAGCCAUUAAGCCUGCCGCCUGGGGAGUACGGCCGCAAGGCUGAAACUUAAAGGAAUUGGCGGGGGAGCACCACCAGGCGUGAAGCCUGCGGUUUAAUUGGAGUCAACGCCGGGAACCUUACCGGGAGCGA